UGCGUAGGCGGCUGUGCAAGUCUGGCGUGAAAGCCCCGGGCUCAGCCCGGGAAGUGCGCUCGAAACUGCACGGCUCGAGUGCCGGAGGGGAGAGUGGAAUUCCUGGUGUAGCGGUGAAAUGCGUAGAUAUCAGGAGGAAUACCGGUGGCGAAAGCGACUCUCUGGACGGCAACUGACGCUGAGGCACGAAAGCUGGGGAGCAAACA
rnacentral:rRNA from 1 species